GUGGUUCCAACUAUCAGAGUGAUUGUUACCUUCACCAAGUAUGAAGAACUACAGCCAGUGGACGAGUUCGCGACGCCGCCGUCGAGCCCUACAGCUGCAGCAGGCAGGGAGAGCCCUUCCGCUACAAAUUCCUUGAGUUCAUCUUGGUUUCACUGGAUUAAAGCCCCAUAUCAACGCCCGAGCAUGUCGACCAGUGUUUCUAGCAGUAGGAUAGAAACUCUCG
rnacentral:misc_RNA from 1 species